AACUUUCUGUCCUCUGUGAUCAUAUUUGUGGUUUGGAGCAGUCACUAAGAAGGAAGAACUUGGGAGCUUGGCCGGACCCUGAGAGUCACCAACGGCAAAAGGCACCAUGAAAACCGGGUCAUGCUGCAAAAAUAAUAGAGAACUUCUGGCAUCUUAGCUUCCCAACAGCUACAUGGCAUGGCGUCUGUCCCUGGCAGCUCCUUUCUGCAUCCUCUCCACAGAAUUCCCCUUGUUUGGAAGCCCUGACCAUACUUCCUGACUUGUUACUGGCCAAUCCGUGAUUCAUUCAUCAACCAAUAAGAGAAACACCUAUACAGAAGGACAUCCCCCAUCAUUUCAAGGUCAGGAUGCGCAAGUCCGAGCUCCUUCUCCAGCACCGUGUCUGCCUGCACACCGUCAUGUCAUACUGUGAUGAUAAAGGACUAAAACCCCC